rnacentral:rRNA from 1 species
UUAUAAGAGACAGCAGUAGCCGCGGGAAUACGGAGGGUGCAAGCGUUAAUCGGAAUUACUGGGCGUAAAGCGCACGCAGGCGGUCUGACAAGUCAGAUGUGAAAUCCCCGGGCUUAACCUGGGAACUGCAUUUGAAACUGUCAGGCUGGAGUCUUGUAGAGGGGGGUGGAAUUCCAGGUGUAGCGGUGAAAUGCGUAGAGAUCUGGAGGAAUACCGGUGGCGAAGGCGGCCCCCUGGACAAAGACUGACGCUCAGGUGCGAAAGCGUGGGGAGCAAACAGGAUUAGAUACCCCAGUAGUCCCUGUCUCUUAUAC